rnacentral:lncRNA from 1 species
GGUUUAGUCGGGAGAUCCAACAUCGAUGGCGACUCUCGUCGAUUCACGGAACAACGGCAGCCGGAGCCAAGUGGCGCGGCAAUUCCGCCUGAGUCGGCAGAGAGCUAGGGGCCUAGGGCUCGUUCGACAGAGGGAACGAACGGCGACUGAUUUUCGCCGGGUUUUAGAGAAACCACGACAACGCCGACUCCCCCAAUUUCAGUGUAGCAACGCCGGGCUUGAGAAGAGAUGAGUAGCCGAAUGGUUUUGGCGAGCGGGAUAAGAGAUAGAGAAGAGAGAUCGAGGGAUGGGAGGCCGCUGACUCAGAGGGCGGAGAAAAUUAACGAAGGCGGAAAUCUCGAAAGAGAAAAGCGGUGGUCACCGACGAGUUGAGCGACUCGACACUAUAGGCGAUGAAAUUAGAUGGAAAAAGCGGCUCUAAGAGCAUCUCCAGCGGGCGAGGCGAAGCCCGCGUCGAUCCGCGUCGCUGGAGUGCCGCCCGCGCUGGAGACCCGGUCAGUUUCGAAGCCGAGGCGAAGGCGAGAGAUGUUUGGCGCGUCCGGCGGACGCGUCCCCUUCAAAGAAAAAAAUUGAAAAAUGCGUUUAAAUUUUAUGUAGAAGAGUGAAUUUGGGUUGCUGUAUGGAGUUGUUGUAUCUAUGGAGUUGCUGUAUCUAUGGAGAAGAAGAGUUGCAGACGGUGGGGAUGGGGUUUGGGUUGGGGUAGGUGGGGCCCAUGGAGUGAUUGCAUUUAAAUUUUUUUAUAAGAGAGAAUGCGUUUAAAAUUUUUUAUAAUUUCUUUUUCAUAUUUUUCAAAUUUUAAUUUUUGAUUUGUUUUAAAAUUCUAAUUUUUAUUGUAAUUUUAAUUAUGUUAAUUUUUUCUAUUUUUAAAAUUAUGUAAUUUUUAUUUAAUUAUUGUAAUGUUGAAUUUAUUGUUUUUGAUUUUUUUGAAUUUAUAGCAUUUUUUUAUUCUUUUUCGUAAUUUUUAGGAUUUUUAAGUUUUAGUAAUUUUUUAGUUUAAUUUUAAUGUAAUUAAAAAUUUAAAAAUAAAAAUGUAGAAAUAUGUAUUUUGUGGAAAUGAGGAUAUAAGACACCCUCUAAGCAUCAAUGCAUUGGAGAG